rnacentral:lncRNA from 1 species
ACGGAAUGCAUGAAUACGAAGUAAGCAAGGAGGACGUGAUACGCCGAUACGGUGCUUUGCCCAGUUAAGCGUGGGUUGCUAUUUGCCAUGCCCCAGAACGUGGUUGUGACAAAGGCGGCUGCAGCGCUGUCAAUAAGGUAGCAGAUGGAUCAACCCGUCCUUGCCCGCCCGCACGCUACGCAGCGGCUGUGGCAGCAGGUAAUGAGACAUUGGCAAAGCUUGCGAGCUGAUAGGAACACGGGCCGGAGGAUAAGGGAGGGGGGGUCGACCGGGAAAGGCAGACGCGGUGGAGGCACCGGCGGCGGCGAAGGCAACUAACUAGGUGAAGCGGAGGUGGCGGAGUGGAGGCGCCGGCGCACGGACUGCCCGACCGUAGGUCCCAUUACAUAUACAGGGUGCGGCGAGCGCGGCGGUAUGCAGUGGUCACGGCUGGAGCGAGUCCGGACUGCACACGCAAGACAUGAGUAAGCCAGGUGCUGACGCGGAAGCAGCCCGCGGCGACUGGCUGUGGGUCUGACUGACGGAGCGCUGACACCGCCGGCGGGCUAAGAAGCCGACAAACAACCGCCGUGCAAAAUCCUUAUUGGUACAGCUGGCGGCGGCUGGCUGUUUGGCCGGUGCCUGACGCACAUCGGGGCGGCGGCAGCAAGGAGUAGCGGGUAGAUGUGGGAAGGAGUGCAUGUGUGAGUGUGCGUGUGUUGGUAUUUACUGCAGUGUGGGUGAACUUGACACAAAUGGGUGGAUUGGCUGCUGGCAGUGGUGGGCCGACCACACCUUAAUUCUUGUAUCGCA